rnacentral:rRNA from 1 species
CCUACGGGUGGCAGCAGUGGGGAAUAUUGCGCAAUGGGCGAAAGCCUGACGCAGCGACGCCGCGUGAGGGAUGAAGGUCUUCGGAUCGUAAACCUCUGUCAGCAGGGAAGAACGGUCACGGUGCUAAGCAGCAGUGAAUUGACGGUACCGGCAAAGGAAGCACCGGCUAACUCCGUGCCAGCAGCCGCGGUAAUACGGAGGGUGCGAGCGUUAAUCGGAAUGACUGGGCGUAAAGCGCUCGUAGGCGGUAUGUCAAGUCAAGGGUGAAAUCCCCGCGCUCCCCGUGGGAACGGCCUUUGAAACUGGCAACCUUGUGUGUGUGAUAGGCUAGUGGACUUCCAGGUGU